rnacentral:rRNA from 1 species
AUGGACUACAAGUUCAUUGCCUUGUUCAACAUGGGAUUAGUCUAUCUGGAAUCUGGUCGCCAUACAUGCAGAUGCAAAUGCGCUGGCCUUCAUGAUUCCAGGACCUGGAAUCAUACCAGCCAAUGGGAGUUGAUCGAGCACCUUAAGGCCAAAGUGAGUGCUGACAGCGCGAGAUCUCACCCUCUCAUCGAUUUGUUCAUAUCAACCAUCGAUAGCAAGCACGGCAUAUGCUACACCCAUCCUGAGAAACUUCCAGGUAUCACACUGAGUGGCCUAAGCAAGCAUUUCUUCCAACGCAAUUCCAGGGCGUUUAAAAGGGACAGGUGGACGCGUCACAAGAUACAGUCAGAGUGUAGCAUGCACGCGAUGUUGCACAAGACCGGCAAUACCUUGCCAGUGAUGGUCAACAGCCGACAGACGGGCAGCAAAAAGGUUCUGGUGCUGCACACCGACAAGAACUUCGACCAGCAGAGGACCAACUGGGUGAUGCACUAG